GAGUUUGAUCUUGGCUCAGAUUGAACGCUGGCGGCAUGCCUUACACAUGCAAGUCGAACGGCAGCACGGGAGCUUGCUCCUGGUGGCGAGUGGCGAACGGGUGAGUAAUGCAUCGGAACGUAUUCUGGAGUGGGGGAUAACGUAGCGAAAGUUACGCUAAUACCGCAUAUUCUGUGAGCAGGAAAGCGGGGGACCUUCGGGCCUCGCGCUCUUGGAGCGGCCGAUGUCGGAUUAGCUAGUUGGUGAGGUAAAGGCUCACCAAGGCGACGAUCCGUAGCAGGUCUGAGAGGAUGAUCUGCCACACUGGAACUGAGACACGGUCCAGACUCCUACGGGAGGCAGCAGUGGGGAAUUUUGGACAAUGGGGGCAACCCUGAUCCAGCCAUGCCGCGUGAGUGAAGAAGGCCUCGGUUGUAAGAC
rnacentral:rRNA from 1 species